GUACAUUUAAAAUUAAUUUUAGCUUAACAAUAAAAAGGUUACAAGAAUUAAACUUACAAAACAAUUAAACAAUUAAAAAAAAAAAAAAAACAACUUAAAAUUAAGACAUUUCGUGAGUCUGGAGGGUCCAUAUGGAUAUGCAAAUACACAAUAAAAUUGAAAGUUCAUUGCCAAGCUGAUCUGCGGCGGGUCGGACGCUGGGGGUCGUCGUCCCAGCACAAGACUGAAUAAAAACAUCCCCAGCGAUGGAAGGGCGUAGGUAGAUUAUACCCCACGACAGCGUACAAACACCCUGUUCAGACACUAAAACAUUGGCAGGUUUUAAAUCCAAGUGGGCUAUGCCGUGCACGUGCAAGUGCUGGAGCGCGCGCGCGAUGUCCACUGAAUAUUUCACGCACUUGUCCAAAGGCAACGAGUCCGUAAAUGACCUGCUGUAGGUUUAGCACGCCGGCGAACUCCAUCACAAUCGUUCCGAUGUUGUCUUUUGUACUGAGGUGCGUAGGAGUGCACGUGGUGACCGCAGUCACGCGCAAGAUGUUUUGAUGGUGCAGGUGCGCCGCAGUGAGUUCAGCCCAGAAACUCUGCCUCGAGGCCAGUUUGUUUUUCACACAUAUCACUUUCUUUACAACAGCAGUCUGGUCAAAGUAUGUGCCUUUGAACACCAGACCGAAUCCCCCGCGCAGUUUUGGACAGUGGGCUGCUGCACGCGCCAAACUCCAGCCCAAAAUCCUUUGGCAGUAGUGAUGGGGAUUGGUGACGGCACAGUGAAUGGUAACCGUGAACCCAAAACACCUGUCUGCUAUUUUCGGGGCUCUGCUUCGCGUGGGAGAAUUCACGUGCUCGUCUGUCAUAUGACUCUCACGGGCCAAAUGUCAGGCGUUUAAUUUGUAUGUUUUAUGAAACUAUGCUCUCGGCGUGUAGGUGGCAUAUUUACAUAUGAAAACCUUUUAAAUAAAACAAGGCAAUUUAACCAGUGCUGUAAAUCACCCGAGAGAUCUGUGGCUCAGAUAUAAAUCUCUUUCUACCUUACUAGUGCUGUGUUAUCAAAGUCUGACGCAAUGAUGAAACCAACAGGCGCAGUGUGCCCUCAUUACACCCAUUUACUAGAGAUCAUGUGACUAUAUCAAACCGCUCACUCUCUGAGCUGGUACUCAGUUUGUUUAUACUGUGUGUGUGUGUAUAUAUAUAUAUACA
rnacentral:lncRNA from 1 species